AUUGAACGCUGGCGGCAGGCUUAACACAUGCAAGUCGAGCGAGCGGCGGACGGGUGAGUAAUGUCUGGGAACCUGCCUGAUGGAGGGGGAUAACUACUAGAAACGGUAGCUAAUACCGCAUACCAUCAGAUGUGCCCAGAUGGGAUUAGCUAGUAGGUGGGGUAAUGGCUCACCUAGGCGACGAUCCCUAGCUGGUCUGAGAGGAUGACAAGCCACACUGGAACUGGGACACGGUCCAGACUCCUACGGGAGGCAGCAGGGGGGAAUAUUGCGCAAUGGGUGCAAGCCUGAUGCAGCCAUGCCGCGUGUGGGAAGAAGGCCUUCGGGUUGUAAAACACGUUCAGCGAGGAGGCGUUACUCGCAGAAGAAGCACCGGCUAACUCCGUGCCAGCCGCCGCGGUAAUUC
rnacentral:rRNA from 1 species